rnacentral:misc_RNA from 1 species
UCAGUGCAGUGCGUGCGUGCG